UUGCUCAGAUAAUAGAGCUGCACAUGCUUUUUUUUCUUUACAAAAAUAACUAAGUAAACAAAGUAACUAAAAUAUGUCUUAAGCUAAAUAAAUUUAACUUAGUACAGCAGGUGAGUCUUUCCUCUCAACACCAAAACAGUUCUCUUUAGGAUUCCAGCAAACCCCCAACCAAAGAAUAAACUCAAGUCUUGAGUUCUCCACC